AGCCUAGUAGCUUAGUAGUAGAGUAUAUAUUUAUUAUAAAAUUAUUACUUAUUAGUUUCUGUAUAGAAUACUUAUAGAUAAAGCUUUAUAUAUAUAAAGUUCUAAGUUUAACCCCUAGCUAGGUUA